AGUGGAUAAAACCCUUCUGCAAAGUCGUCUGCUAAUAUCUAAGAAGGGUUUUAAAUAUUUUCUUAUCUUUUUUUAAAAAAUGUGAAUGUUCAGAGGUAACCAAAAAAGGUGAAAGAAGUCAAUGCACUAAGGUAUUCAUCUUAGCAUGGUUCAUCACAGGGAAAAAGGAAAGCAUUUGUAUGUCUAAGCUGAGGGACUGGCCACGACUGUGCCUGCACUGGAGUGUAUACAUCAUUAAAAAUAUACUUAGAGUAAUGUAAAACUGGUGAGAAGACUGUUCUUGAAUAAAAGAGGCAUAACAAAAGACAAUGCAUGAAUUAGUUUGAAAAUAAACAGCAAAAAGUCAAUGGGGGACAAUUUUAAAAAUUUGAAUAUCAACUGGAUAUUAAAUGACAUUAGGGAAUAAUCAUGAAUAUCCUGCUGUGAUAAUGAUAUUAUGAUUAUGUGGGAGGACAUUCUUAUUUUUAGGAGAUGCAUAUUGAAAUAUUUAGAAGUGAAAUGCUAUGAUAAUUACAGUUUACUUUCAAAUAUUUCAGCAAAAAACACAUAUGUAUAUGUGUAUGUAUACUUACGGACUCCCUGGAUUUUCUACUUGGAAGUAGUACCGAGGAAGAUCUAACACAGCAUUUCUCCCUGUGACUCUGAUUAUGAGAGAAAAAGAAGAAAGAGGAGGAAGAAGAGGAAGAGAAAAGCAGGGCUAAAAUUGGGCUCAUCCUGAACAGGCGUCUUCAGUACGGCAGAAACUUCAGCAUUGUCACCCAACGUUUAAGGACAGCCUUUGAUGAGGCAGCGGCUUGGCUGUGUCUUCACUACACGAUUCUAUUCAAUAUCACCACCAGCCUUUACGCAGGACUCUGCACAUGGCAGGCUCUUGAUAAAUGGGCUCUGGGACAAAGCCUGCUUGCAGAGGAGAAAUACCACGGCAGCUUGAUGUGCAAUUGGGACUUAACCUCACACAAGACCCAAGAGUCCCCACGGAGGGCAUUCUCCAUGUGUUUCAACUUGGUGCAUCAUUCACCAAGCAUGUUCCCUCCGGAAAAGCAGGAGACCGCCCAAGUUGGAAGAAAAGGGCAUCUUUCAAACAAGAAGAUGGCUUUGGCUGCCUGCGUGGACCUGUGCUUCUCUGUCUGGGCACUGCCUGUUUCUGGAAGGUGUUUCCUCUCAGCCUGGAGUUAUAGAUUCAGCCUGGUUUCAGAGUUUGAGGUUGAUGGAAAUGCUUUCACAGAGGAUUUUUGUAAUCUUCACAUAAUCCUGAGAAGUAGGUAAGUCUGCAUCUUUUUCUCACUUUUCAGAGGAGGAAACAGACUUAGAGAAUUUUGAAUUUUUUUUUAAGCAAUUUGCCUGGAAUCUCCCAGCUCCUAAGUAGAGCCAAUCCUGAAACCCACGUCUUCUGGCUCUAAUCCUCAGUCCUUCUCCCAGGAUCCACAGCACUGAGGUCACCGAUGACCCCCAUGAUAAUCUAAAUAAUGACUCUGAGGCUGGACGAGAUGCCAAAUCUUCAAAGAGAGAGUCUAUUUGAUCAUUCCAUUGCACCAGCAAAGUGGGUUUGAAAUCUGUAGAGAGAUUUCUUUUUCCCCAAUAAUAGCAGAUGAAACAAUACUGGUUACAGAACAUUCCAUUUCCUAAGCAUUCCCAUUUUAAGCCUAUGUCCCAGUCAUUAAUAGAUUCACCAUACAUAGAUUCAUAGAGGCCAUACAUAGAUUCACCAUUUGAAGGAAGGAAUAGAAAAGCUGUCACAGAAACUUAAAACAGCCUAUAGCAGGAAAUGAGGAAAAAACACCAUAUAUUGUAAUUCUGUUUCUGUCUCCAAGGAGCAAACUCAAAAACAGACACCUAUGGCUUUAAGAGAAACAGUUAUACUGGGAGAGUGUUACAGGUGCAAAGGAAGAGAAUGUUUUUCAUGCCUUGGUUCAGGGGAUUCCCGAUGGCCUGGGUCUGCUUCCAACAGCCCUCAGCAUUCCAUGUGUGUGCUAUCUGGUAUGUGUUUAUUAUUGGGUAUGAACAAUUUGGGGAGGAAAGCACUGGUUCCCUCUAGGGGACCUUUGUACCUUACAACGGCACCACCCCUUCACCUCUGGUGGGAGGAAGGUCAUCCAGGCAUCCAGGGCCAUUCCCGCCUCUACCCUUAUUCUUCCGCAAUCCCCACUUCUUCCUCUCUGGCAUCUCCAUUUGUUCCUAAAUAUUUUCCUGUUUUCCCUGCCUCUGAAGAAAGGGCUUGGAUAAAGGGCCCCUAAGGAAGACAAUUCAAACUUUUCCUGAAUCAGGCACCAUCACUACGGGCUCUCUUCUUUUCCAUGAGAGCUAAGACAUGGAUUGUGAGAUAGACAUGGUCUAACUCCCCCUAGGUCUGGUGAACUCUAGUGGUAUGAAAUCUAUCCAGAUAGUGAACAGGUGGUUUGGCUCCUCCAAGGAGCUUCAGUUUGGUAGCACUUCGCCUGGGCUUCUCAAGCUUGCCUAACUUACUGACUUUCAGAUAUUAGGUGUAUUACCUAGAGCACUACACCUGAGAACUAGAGGCCCUGGGAGUUCGUCUUUUUUUUUUUUUUUUUUUUUUUUAAUAGGAGUCUUGCUAUGUUGCCUAAGCUGGUUUUGAACUCCUGGCCUCAAGCUAUCCUCCUGCCUCAGCCUCCUUAGGACCUGAGAUUACAGGCAGAAGUUCAUCUUACCUCAUCAUUCUCCGUGUGGCCCAGAUCUGUGGGUGGUUUUCCUUAAUCAUGCUUAUUACUGUGUUAUCUUAAAGAUCAGGAGUCAUACUUUACUUGCCAGAUCCAAUUUCCUCUGCCCAUUUUUCAUUUCCUUUGAUAUCUUGUGGUAGGAGACCCUGUUGGGAAGACCCUAUCCUGGUUCUCCCCCUUCCUCUCAGUGUGAUUCUUCAGUCUCCUUGGUGGUUCCUCUUCUUUCCUACCUCUGACCAUGGAUAUGAUCCUAAAUUUUGCUCUUGAUCUUCUUGUCUUCUCUCCCCUCAGAUUAUCCUUUGGUAAAUUUACCAACCACUGCUUUAAAUAUCACCUUCAUAUGAAUGACUCCUGAAUCUAUAUCUCAAGUCCCAUGGUUUUCCAUGACAACAAUAUCCAAGUCCGUAGGAUUCCACUGAAAAUGUGAGAGCUGAAAAAAAUAUUAGAGGAGGAUAUCAGAGUGACAGUUUAAUAACUGAGGUCAUAUAAUUGAAUCGUGGUGGAGAGCUCAGUAAUAUGCCUUAAUCUUCCUUCCCCUUCCUUUUCUUCUAUCACCUCACAUCUUUUCACCAGCCAAACUGGUCUCCUGUAAGCUGCUCCUUCCUCCUGACCCCAUGCCCACAAUUGUUCACUUUGUUUCCUUCCUGAAAUGCACACUCCUCCUCCCCUUGCCUUUAUCUCUCAAAACCCUACCCUAAUUUAGUGCACGUGAAAUACUGGUGUCUCUCUUCUAGUUCCUUAAAAAGAAAAGUAGAAAGAAGCCCCAUUAGUCAAAGGGGCGCCAGGAUAGCCAAGAGGGUGGGACUCUAAUGGGUCAGCAUUCUCAGGGGUCUCAGUGGAACCUGCUCAUAAAUUUUUCUUUUCUUUCUUUUUUUUUUGAGAUGGAGUCUCACUCUUGUCACCCACACUGGAGUGCAUUGGUGUGAUCUCAGC